rnacentral:rRNA from 1 species
AUUGAACGCUGGCGGCAGGCCUAACACAUGCAAGUCGAACGAGUGGCGGACGGGUGAGUAAUGUCUGGGAAACUGCCCGAUGGAGGGGGAUAACUACUGGAAACGGUAGCUAAUACCGCAUACCCUCGGAUGUGCCCCGAUGGGAUUAGCUAGUAGGUGGGGUAACGGCUCACCUAGGCGACGCUCCUUAGCUGGGCUUAGAGGAUGACCAGCCACACUGGAACUGAGACACGGUCCAGAAUCCUACGGGAGGCAGCAGUGGGGAAUAUUGCACAAUGGGCGCAAGCCUAAUGCAGCCAGGCCGCGUGUAUGAAGAAGGCCGUCGGGUUGUAAAGUACUUUCAGCGAGGAGGCGUUACUCGCAGAAGAAGCACCGGCUAACUCCGGGCCAGCAGCCGCGGUAAUUC